AACGAACGCUGGCGGCAGGCUUAACACAUGCAAGUCGAACGCAUCCUUCGGGGUGAGUGGCGGACGGGUGAGUAACGCGUGGGAACGUGCCCUUCAGUUCGGGAUAACCCAGGGAAACUUGGGCUAAUACCGGAUACGUGCGAGAGCAGAAAGACUUAUCGCUGAAGGAUCGGCCCGCGUCUGAUUAGCUAGUUGGUGGGGUAAUGGCCCACCAAGGCGACGAUCAGUAGCUGGUCUGAGAGGAUGAUCAGCCACAUUGGGACUGAGACACGGCCCAAACUCCUACGGGAGGCAGCAGUGGGGAAUAUUGGACAAUGGGCGCAAGCCUGAUCCAGCCAUGCCGCGUGAGUGAUGAAGGCCUUAGGGUUGUAAAGCUCUUUUGUCCGGGACGAUAAUGACGGUACCGGAAGAAUAAGCCCCGGCUAACUUCGUGCCAGCCGCCGCAGUAA
rnacentral:rRNA from 1 species